CCUACGGGUGGCAGCAGUGGGGAAUAUUGGACAAUGGGCGAAACCCUGAUGCAGCGACGCCGCGUGAGUGAAGAAGUAUUUCGGUAUGUAAAGCUCUAUCAUCAGGGACGAAACAAGACGGUACCUGACUAAGAAGCGCCAGCUAACUACGUGCCAGCAGCCGCGGUAAUACGUAGGGGGCAAGCGUUAUCCGGAAUCACUGGGUGUAAAGGGAGCGUAGACGGCUGUGCAAGCCUGAAGUGAAAGGCGGGGGCUCAACCCCUGGACUGCUUUGGGAACUGUGCGGCUGGAGUGCAGGAGAGGUAAGUGGAAUUCCGAGUGUAGCGGUGAAAUGCGUAGAUAUUAGGAGGAACACCAGUGGCGAAGGCGGAUUGCUGGACUGUAACUGACGUUGAGGCUCGAAAGCGUGGGGAGCAAACAGGAUUAGAUACCCCAGUAGUC
rnacentral:rRNA from 1 species